rnacentral:lncRNA from 10 species
UCACUGGCCAGUCUGGAGCUCUUUAGGGAAGGGCAGAAUACUGCUUGUUCACGUGUCUCCGGCACUUAGCUCAGGGUACUGGGACCUAGUGCCCAGUUAGAGUGACUGCCAGAUAGAGGUGGGCUCUGCACAUAUGUUAUGGAUAUUGGGCUGUGUUCUUGAAAAGAGUGCCCUGUUGUAUGGAUACAUGUGGAAUACACG